rnacentral:rRNA from 1 species
UACGGAGGGAGCUAGCGUUGUUCGGAAUUACUGGGCGUAAAGCGCGCGUAGGCGGCUUUGUAAGUUAGAGGUGAAAGCCUGGAGCUCAACUUCAGAAUUGCCUUUAAGACUGCAUCGCUUGAAUCCGGGAGAGGUGAGUGGAAUUCCGAGUGUAGAGGUGAAAUUCGUAGAUAUUCGGAAGAACACCAGUGGCGAAGGCGGCCCACUGGACCGGCAUUGACGCUGAGGUGCGAAAGCGUGGGGAGCAAACAGG